GAAACAGUGGCUAAGACUGGAUAGGAAGAAAUAAGGCAUCUUUUUUCUUUUAAAAGACCUAGUGAUAGGUAUACUUUAGGAGGGGCUUGCGCCAUAUUAGUUAGUUGGUAGGGUAAUGGCCUACCAAGACGAUGAUGUGUAGCUGGACUGAGAGGUUGAACAGCCACAUUGGGACUGAGACACGGCCCAAACUCCUACGGGAGGCAGCAGUAGGGAAUUUUCGGCAAUGGAGGAAACUCUGACCGAGCAACGCCGCGUGAACGACGAAGUACUUUGGUAUGUAAAGUUCUUUUAUCAAGGAAGAAAAGCAAGUGGUGAACCAUUUGUUUGCCGGUACUUGAUGAAUAAGCCCCGGCUAAUUAUGUGCCAGCAGCCGCGGUAAGACAUAAGGGGCAAGUGUUAUCCGGAAUUAUUGGGCGUAAAGGGUGCGUAGGCGGUCUAGUAAGUCAGUGGUGUAAUGGCAACGCUCAACGUUGUCCGGCUAUUGAAACUGCUAAACUUGAGUUAGAUAGAGGCGAGUGGAAUUCCAUGUGUAGCGGUAAAAUGCGUAAAUAUAUGGAGGAACACCAGAGGCGUAGGCGGCUCGCUGGGUCUUAACUGACGCUGAGGCACGAAAGCGUGGGGAGCAAACAGGAUUAGAUACCCUGGUAGUCCACGCCGUAAACGAUGAGUACUAAGUGUCGGGUUAAACCGGUACUGAAGUUAACACAUUAAGUACUCCGCCUGAGUAGUACGUACGCAAGUAUGAAACUUAAAGGAAUUGACGGGACUCCGCACAAGCGGUGGAUCAUGUUGUUUAAUUCGAAGAUACCCGAAAAACCUUACCAGGUCUUGACAUGUUUUUGCGAAACGGUAGUAAUAUCGUGGAGGUUAUCAGAAACACAGGUGGUGCAUGGUUGUCGUCAGCUCGUGUCGUGAGAUGUUAGGUUAAGUCCUAAAACGAGCGAAACCCUUAUCGUUAGUUGCCAGCACGUUAUGGUGGGGACUUUAACGAGACUGCCAGUGAUAAAUUGGAGGAAGGUGAGGAUCACGUCAAAUCAGCAUGCCCCUUAUGACCUGGGCUACAAACGUGAUACAAUGGCUGUUACAAAGGGUAGCUGAAACGCAAGUUCUUGGCCAAUCCCCAAAAACAGUCUCAGUCCGGAUUGAAGUCUGCAACUCGACUUCAUGAAGUUGGAAUCGCUAGUAAUCGCGAAUCAGCAUGUCGCGGUGAAUACGUUCUCGGGGUUUGUACACACCGCCCGUCA
rnacentral:rRNA from 5 species